AGAGUUUGAUCCUGGCUCAGAAUGAACGUUGGCGGCGUGGAUUAGGCAUGCAAGUCGAGCGAGAAGGGUUUGGUGCUUGCAUUGAACCCGGAAAGCGGCGAAAGGGAGAGUAACGCGUAGAUAUGUACCCUAGGGUCUGGGAUAGCGUCGGGAAACUGGCGGUAAUACCGGAUAAUGUCCCCGGACCAAAGGUUUACUGCCCUAGGAGCAGUCUGCGUCCUACUAGCUUGUUGGUGGGGUAAUGGCCUACCAAGGCGAUGAUGGGUAGCGGGCGUGAGAGCGUGACCCGUCUCACUGGGGCUGAGACACUGCCCAGACACCUACGGGUGGCUGCAGUCGAGAAUCUUCCGCAAUGGACGAAAGUCUGACGGAGCGACGCCGCGUGCGGGAUGAAGGCCUUCGGGUUGUAAACCGCUGUCAGAGGGAAGGAAAUUUUGACCGAACCUCAAAGGAAGUCCGGGCUAAGUUCGUGCCAGCAGCCGCGGUAACACGAACCGGACAAACGUUAUUCGGAAUUACUGGGCUUAAAGAGUACGUAGGCGGCCAAGUAGGUGGGGUGUGAAAGCCCACGGCUCAACCGUGGAAUUGCGCUCCAAACCACUUGGCUUGAGGGAGGCAGGGGUAAGCGGAACUGAUGGUGGAGCGGUGAAAUGCGUUGAUAUCAUCAGGAACACCAGUGGCGAAGGCGGCUUACUGGGCCUCUACUGACGCUGAGGUACGAAAGCUAGGGUAGCGAACAGGAUUAGAUACCCUGGUAGUCCUAGCUGUAAACGAUGAGCACUUGUUCGAGGGGACCUCCACAUCCUCUCGGACGUAGCGAAAGUGUUAAGUGCUCCGCCUGGGGAGUAUGGUCGCAAGGCAA
rnacentral:rRNA from 1 species